CGCUAUCACUCCUACGGGGAGGGCAGCAGUGGGGAAUAUUGCACAAUUGGGGGAAACCCUGAUGCAGCCAUGCCGCGUGUGUGAAGAAGGCCUUCGGGUUGUAAAGCACUUUCAGUCGUGAGGAAGGUAGUGUAGUUAAUAGCUGCAUUAUUUGACGUUAGCGACAGAAGAAGCACCGGCUAACUCCGUGCCAGCAGCCGCGGUAAUACGGAGGUGCGAGCGUUAAUCGGAAUUACUGGGCGUAAAGCGCAUGCAGGUGGUUUGUUAAGUCAGAUGUGAAAGCCCGGGGCUCAACCUCGGAACUGCAUUUGAAACUGGCAGACUAGAGUACUGUAGAGGGGGUAGAAUUUCAGGUGUAGCGGUGAAAUGCGUAGAGAUCUGAAGGAAUACCGGUGGCGAAGGCGGCCCCCUGGACAGAUACUGACACUCAGAUGCGAAAGCGUGGGGAGCAAACAGGAUUAGAUACCCUGGUAG
rnacentral:rRNA from 1 species